rnacentral:misc_RNA from 1 species
CUAGCCAGUAUACCCUUGCA